rnacentral:sRNA from 1 species
CUUAUCAGGAAAUUUUCUGACUUUCUUCUUUUGCCUUUUCAAGAUCUGCGAUGCCAUCUCCAAGUGGGAACAAGCCAUGAAGGAGCUGCACCCCGGAAAGUCUGAGGGUGGGACACGCGUCGUGAAGCUGAUGUACAAGAACAGGCUGUACUUUCGCAGUCAAGUCAAAGGGGAGACGGACCGAGAACGGCUGCUCCUUGCCUCUCAAACUAGUAGAGAGAUAGUGGCAGGGAGGUUUCCUGUCAACAAGGAAUUGGCUCUUGAGAUGGCUGCCCUGAUGGCCCAGGUAGAAUAUGGGGACUUGGAGAAGCCUGCCCUGCCAGGCCCUGGAGGCACAUCCCCUGCCAAGGCUCAGCAUCUGCUCCAGCAGGUCCUAGACAGGUUCUACCCCAGGCGCUACAGACAUGGGGCCCCCCCUGAACAGCUGAGGCACCUGGCAGAUAUGUUGACCACAAAAUGGGCAACAUUGCAAGGAUGCUCCCCUCCUGAGUGCAUCCGCAUCUACCUGACCGUGGCCAGGAAAUGGCCUUUCUUUGGUGCUAAACUUUUUGCUGCUCAGCCUGCCCAGCUGUCUUCCAAGGAGAACGCUCUGGU